rnacentral:tRNA from 2 species
UCCGCCUUAGCUCAGUUGGUAGAGCGCUUGACUGUUAAUCAGGUUGUCGCUGGUUCGAGCCCAGCAGGCGGAGCCA